GCCGGGGUGGCGAAAUGGCAGACGCGGCGGACUUAAAAUCCGCUUCCCGCAAGGGAUUGUGGGUUCGAUUCCCGCCCCCGGCACCA
rnacentral:tRNA from 1 species